CCUACGGGAGGCAGCAGUGGGGGAUAUUGCACAAUGGGGGGAACCCUGAUGCAGCGACGCCGCGUGGGUGAAGAAGCGCCUCGGCGCGUAAAGCCCUGUCAGCAGGGAAGAAAAUGACGGUACCUGAAGAAGAAGCCCCGGCUAACUACGUGCCAGCAGCCGCGGUAAUACGUAGGGGGCAAGCGUUAUCCGGAUUUACUGGGUGUAAAGGGGGCGCAGACGGCGAUGCAAGCCAGGAGUGAAAGCCCGGGGCCCAACCCCGGGACUGCUCUUGGAACUGGGUGGCUGGAGUGCAGGAGGGGCAGGCGGAAUUCCUGGGGGAGCGGUGGAAGGCGUAGAUAUCAGGAGGAACACCGGUGGCGAAGGCGGCCUGCUGGACUGCAACUGACGUUGAGGCCCGAAAGCGUGGGGAGCAAACAGGAUUAGAUACCCUUGUAGUC
rnacentral:rRNA from 1 species